GUUAUGACAAAAAUGGCUCUGCUGCUGCUGUGUUGUGCAAUACAGCACUUGCUAGCGAUGUGUCGUUUUCUACUUUCUCAUGCCAUCCAAAUUAUGACUGUUGUCACUACACUUGGUUGUGUAACAUGCUUUUGGGGAAAGGAACUUUUGCUCAAGAUUCCUGUGGGCCAAAGUUUACAAGUGUUGCAGAAUAAAGAGUGUGGAAUCUGAUGAAGACCUGAAAGGAGCGUUAGGCCGACCUGUGCAGGUGCUCCGCUUUGACCCCCCCCACUGGAAGUGAGCUGCAGCCUAUAGGAAGCCUGCCUGGCGGGCAGGCCAUGCAAGUGGCCCCUCCGCCGCACCUCCCAGGAAGACUUGCGCAAUCCGGAGAGGCCGCGGCGCCCGGUUAAACAUCCACCGCCCGACACAAGCCAAGGACGCGACUCGUCAAGGUGACAAAGACCCGAAAGCUGACACCUGGGUGCCUUGUUUGUGUUCACAUCAGAUGACUGCUGUUGACAUUAG